UACGUAAGGGGCGAGCGUUGUCCGGAAUCACUGGGCGUAAAGAGCGCGUAGGCGGUUUGGUAUGUCCAGGGUGAAAUCCACGGGCUCAACUCGUGAACUGCCCUGGAAACUGCCGGACUUGAGUACCGGAGGGGAAGCUGGAAUUCCUGGUGUAGCGGUGAAAUGCGUAGAUAUCAGGGAGAACACCAGCGGCGAAGGCGAGCUUCUGGCCGGUAACUGACGCUGAGGCGCGAAAGCUAGGGGAGCGAACAGG
rnacentral:misc_RNA from 1 species